UUUAUCUAUCGGGUGAUAGAAUUACCCAGAUCGAGACCUUCUACACAUUCUCCAUUCCAUUGCUACAACUCAAACCCUCGCCUUCCAUUCCAUUGGCAACAACUCAAACUUUCAUUUGCUGUCACACUUAUAGCUCCUGCCUCACACAGAGCUCUUUGCCUUCGCAUUACUUAUUGAAAAGGAGAUUUUGGGCUUUCUAAUCAAGCAACAGAAAGGUUUACUAUCUAUAAAGAUAUUAAUUCAAAGGAAGGUUCAAAGAGGAUUUUGCUUGCUUCAAGGUUGCUUGGAUAAAGAAGCUUGUGUGGGCAAGCUAGAGAGCCAAUAUUUGGUGGCUUCACUACCCGGAUUAGAGGUGAAAUUUUGAUUCUGCUCCUAUUUGGGUAAGUUUCUCCAUAA